rnacentral:rRNA from 1 species
GGACUACAGGGGUAUCUAAUCCCGUUCGCUCCCCUGGCUUUCGUGUCUCAGCGUCAGCACACCCCCAGCAGACUGUUUUCACCGUCGGCGUUCCAAGCGAUAUCUACGCAUUUCACCGCUCCACCGCUUGUUCCGUCUGCCCCUAGGUGGCUCAAGAUCGCCAGUAUGCCCAGCAGUUCCACCGUUGAGCGGUGGGAUUUCACAAGACACUUAACGACCCGCCUACACACGCUUUAAGCCCAGUGAUUCCGCCUAACGCUCGGCACCUCUGUCUUACCGCGGCGGCUGGCAC